CUUGAUUUCUAUCUUUACCCAGCACGACUUGUUCAAUAGUACAAGUUAUGAACGUUAUUGAUGAUUGACUAUUCUUUUCCACAUAACGUUUUAGCCUUCAUAGAGGAAAAAUACUUAUACACGUAAAUUUUUUAAUCGUUUGUGUUUACAAUUAAAAGUGAAUACACAUUAUAGCUUUAAAUGUUCUUUUGAUCGUGUUUAUUGCAUUGAGCCUGACAGUAACUUAAGAUUAUUGAAAAAAUCAUCCGAAUAAUUCUUAUUGCUCAAUACUGACUCAGAAGCGACUUCUGCACGAUCUAGCUUUCAAAAUAUUGUCGCAUAGUUUGACGUAUUUGUAUAAAAAUAUUUGAAAACAUUAAAUUACAUACACAAGUAAUAUCUAUUAUGUGAUUGGGAAUUAUAAUUUCUUAUACUUAUUGUUUAUGCAAUUGGGGGAAGUACGAACUCACCAACGGGUCAUUAAUAUAUGUUAGAACUUUAUCCUCAUCACAAUAAGAAGAAGCAACUAAUUAAAGGAUUUCAUAUCCAGCUAUAUUACAAAAGUAACUAUAUUAAAAUACAAUGCUAUUCAUCUUUAACUUCUUCAUAAAAGGUGGGUAGCACAGCAAGCACAGUGUCUAAUAUAGUCAGUCCAUUAUCCAAAAAAGUGAACGAUCCCUCUAAGUGAGUGCCAUCAACAGUGUUGUUCAGUAAAUCAGAUUCCAAAAUUACUUCUAGUCUUUCCUUAUUUGUAUCUUGAGAAUAUUUAGAUCCGGGUGGAUCCCAAACGAUAAACACUGCUUUGCAUAAAGAUUGGUUUGAAAAAUUCAAUAGCGUUUUAGAAACUAACUUGACUGUUAAGUACUCUUGUUCAACGACUUUCCCAGUCAAAUAUCGUGGACCAAGAGUUCUCUGGAUGUAGUCGCGCGCUUGCUGUGUAGAAAAUCUACUAAUUCCAUCAGGCUCAAAUAGUUCAUCAUUUGGCAUGAAUUUGGUAUUAUUGGAUUCAAUGAAAUUGACUGAACUAUCACUUGUCCUAUCACUUUGCGAUUUGUCCCAUAAGCCUUUAUAAUUGUCAACAUGUAUACUAGCCAAUGCCCGCUGCAAUCUACCGGGAAGUUUAGUUGAUAGCCUCUUAUUAGAAAUUAAUUCAGUUUCUGCUUGCUCUGCUAAUAAACAUGCGUCACGAAUAUUAUCUUCGAAUUCUGGUGCAACAUUGUUAUGCAAAACACUUAGCAGAAAAUUUCUAACAAUUUGACAAGCUAUUUGCAAAUCCUCUUCCUUAGUUAGUCCAGCGUUAUACAAAAUGUGUGACGACCUUAAAUUGAUUAGCUAAAAUACAACGUGAAUUAAAUUCAAUGGAAACAUAAAUGACUCACAGAAAUACUCCAGCAACCCACUUAAAAUCAAUAUCAUAUUCAUCAAGUAUAUCGUAUUCAAUAUAAUCAGUCGUGGUUUGAGCGGAAACUUCUCGUGCCUUCGCAUCGUUAUUAAUAUCAGUACCCCCUGUAAACUGUUUUUGGCCCGUAGAAACGCCUCCUAAAUCUAGAUACAUUGUAAACAGUCUUAUUCUUGUAGGGUCGCUCCAUUUUCUGCGUGAUCGAUAUCUUUGAAUAAAUCGCUCCAUUCGCCUAAUUUGUCAGCAAAGUCCUUAACAUCUGUUUACUAACACAGUCAAUGGUAUGUUCCUAGAAGUGUUAGUAAGACACAAUAUUUUGUAUUCUCACCUGCUGUAUAAUGUCUCAUUUUCCAAUUUCUCUUCAGCUGUCAGUUCGGGUUCUUGAAAAUAAGGCUCCCAUCCAGACAAUCCCUAAUAUUUAUUAGACGGGUUUUCUAAAGCUUAAGAAAUACCCUCUUUUUUCUUCUAUUACCGAGACUUUUUCCUGUACGUUUUUUAAAAGUAGUAAAUUCCACGCUAUCGCCAAUACAACCUGUACUGUCAUUUUUAAAAUCACCUUCUGCCAUCACUCAAUCACUUCAUCUGGACUGGAAAGUCAGUACACUAGUCGUAUAGUUGAUUUACUAGUUUAUCAGUGUGGUAAGGGGAAUCUAAGGAACCAAAUUUACAGUGUUGUAUUAGAAGCUUUGUUCAUAGAGUUAAGUAGACAGUUCCUUUGCCGGAUUUAGUAACGCUGGAUAUAUUAUUCUACAACCGUUUUUUGAAUAUGCCAGAACUCAUCACUACUGUUACAAUUG